UACGUAGGGGGCAAGCGUUAUCCGGAUUUACUGGGUGUAAAGGGAGCGUAGGCGGCUUAGUAAGUCAGAAGUGAAAGCCCGCAGCUCAACCGCGGGACUGCUUUUGAAACUGUGUAGCUAGAGUGCAGGAGAGGUAAGUGGAAUUCCUAGUGUAGCGGUGAAAUGCGUAGAUAUUAGGAGGAACACCGGUGGCGAAGGCGGCUUACUGGACUGCAACUGACACUGAGGCUCGAAAGUGUGGGUAUCAAACAGG
rnacentral:rRNA from 1 species